rnacentral:other from 1 species
GGUACCCUGCCGUGCGCGUGAUGCUGCCUCCCGGUUUUGAGCCAACACUCUUAAAUCGGGUUUCAAUCUUCAAAGCGUAACGCGAUAGGCUAAGGCCAAGGCGAAGCCCUUGAGGCGGAACCCAACCUGCGAAGGCAGGUUCAAAACUUUGCUGCACACGGCAUGGUGGGGUCUUU